UACGGGGGGGGCAAGCGUUGUUCGGAAUUAUUGGGCGUAAAGAGCUCGUAGGCGGUUUGUCGCGUCUGCUGUGAAAACCCAGGGCUUAACCCUGGGCCUGCAGUGGGUACGGGCAAACUAGAGUGCGGUAGGGGAGAUCGGAAUUCCUGGUGUAGCGGUGAAAUGCGCAGAUAUCAGGAGGAACACCGGUGGCGAAGGCGGAUCUCUGGGCCGUAACUGACGCUGAGGAGCGAAAGCAUGGGUAGCGAACAGG
rnacentral:rRNA from 1 species